UAAUAUCUUCAUUAUAUUUGCCAUGGCU
rnacentral:piRNA from 1 species